GGAAGUUGUCUCUGUAUUGGCUCAUCUUGAUGGCACUGAGCCAGUCUUCUACCGAGCUAAAGGUGUUGAAGUCGGGUAUGGAUCUGUCCAACAGUGGCUGAGAAGGCCUGCGGCGGCGGCAGGCAGAAAAAACACUCGUGGGUCUCAAAGUCCAGUCCUCGGGGGCGCAUUCCUCCACGUUUUCCCAAGUUUCCCUCGUUAAACACUUCUGAUUCAAUGAUCAGGCUCCUGCAAAACGUGAGGAUGAACUGAUCAUUUGAAUCAGGUGUGUUGACCGAGGGAAACUUGGAAAACAUGGAGGACUGCGCCCCCCCCCCCCGAGGACUGGAGUUUGAGACCCCUGCUUCGACUGGGAGUGGCUUGAAACCAGGAGGUGGGGAACUACAUAAAUGAAGCGAAUCUGAAACGAGGACGAUGCAUCAUCCAUGACUUGCAAGAUGUGAAUCAUCCAUGACGUGCAAGAUGUGAGCUGAGAAAAUUCAGCAAUCUACAGUACGGGAUGUUGGCGACGGCUUUGAGGCUGGUGGGGUUACGGAUCAUUUUGUCCAGAGUGCUGACGAUGUCUGCGAAGCGCGGCCGGACGUUGCGGUCCUUCUGCCAACAGUCCAGCAUGAGCUGGUGCAGGGCGCUUGGGCAGU